AACUUCGCAAUGGGCUAACGCCCGACGAGGGAACUCCAAGUGCCUACGCUUUGCGUAGGCUGUUCCCCUGUCUAAAAAACAGGGGGAGUAAAGGGCGGGUAAGACGGGUGCCAGCCGCCGCGGUAAUACCCGCGCCCUGAGUGGUGCUCGUUAUUAUUGAGCCUAAAGCGUCCGCAGCCGGCCCGCUAAAUCCUUGGGUAAAUCGGGCAGCUCAACUGUCCGAAUUCCGGGGAGACUGGCGGGCUUGGGACCGGGAGAGGGUGGAGGUACUCCGGGGUAGGGGUAAAAUCCUGUAAUCCUUGGAGGACCACCGGUGGCGAAGGCGUCCACCUAGAACGGAUCCGACGGUAAGGGACGAAGGCCUGGGGCGCAAACGGGAUUAGAUACCCCGGUAGUCCAGGCUGUAAACGCUGCGGUCUUGGUGUUAGGGGUCCUACGAGGGCUCCCAGUGCCGGAGCGAAGGUGUUAAGACCGCCGCUUGGGGAGUACGGUCGCAAGACUGAAACUUAA
rnacentral:rRNA from 1 species